rnacentral:rRNA from 1 species
UGUGUAGGCGGAUCGUUAAGUGCCUUGUGAAAUCCCACGGCUCAACCGUGGAACUGCUCGGCAUACUGGCGAUCUUGAGCCAUCUAGGGGUUGCUGGAACAAACGGUGGAGCGGUGAAAUGCGUAGAUAUCGUUUGGAACGCCAAUGGUGAAAACAGGCAACUGGGGAUGUGCUGACGCUGAGACACGAAAGCUAGGGGAGCAAACGGGAUUAGAUACCCCGGUAGUCCUAGCCCUAAACGAUGUCCACUAGAUCGUGGUCCCUCUGACGGAAUCACGGUCGAAAUAAAAACGUUAGUGGACCGCCUGGGAAGUACGGUCGCAAGGCUAAAA